GACAUGUACGGAAUCCUUUAGAGAUUAGAGGAGUGCUCGAAAGAGAGCCGUAACACAGGUGCUGCAUGGCUGUCGUCAGCUCGUGUCGUGAGAUGUUGGGUUAAGUCCCGCAACGAGCGCAACCCUUAUCAUUAGUUGCUACGCAAGGGCACUCUAAUGAGACUGCCGGUGACAAACCGGAGGAAGGUGGGGAUGACGUCAAGUCCUCAUGGCCCUUAUGGGUAGGGCUUCACACGUCAUACAAUGGUCGGUACAGAGGGUUGCCAAGCCGCGAGGCGGAGCCAAUCCCACAAAGCCGAUCGUAGUCCGGAUUGUUCUCUGCAACUCGAGAGCAUGAGGUCGGAAUCGCUAGUAAUCGCAGGUCAGCAUACUGCGGUGAAUACGUUCCCGGGUCUU
rnacentral:rRNA from 1 species